UUGUUGUGACACCAUUUCCAUUUAGUUUUUCAUACACCAUUAAUUUUCUUACUAACAAAAUCUUACCAUGCUAUAGAUUUCAGCCUCUUAUUCUCAUAUUCUUGUUCUAAUUAUGCACCUUGUGAAUCCAUAGGUUGUUCUUGUUGUUCGAUACUUGGAGCAUCGUUUGGAGUAGAACACGGAGUAGAAGUUGGUGUCAAUGCAG
rnacentral:pre_miRNA from 1 species